rnacentral:rRNA from 1 species
UACGUAGGGGGCAAGCGUUGUCCGGAAUUAUUGGGCGUAAAGAGCGUGUAGGCGGUCCGGUAAGUCGGCUGUGAAAACUCGAGGCUCAACCUCGAGAUGUCGGCGGAAACCGUCUGGCUAGAGUCCGGAAGAGGAGAAUGGAAUUCCUGGUGUAGCGGUGAAAUGCGCAGAUAUCAGGAAGAACACCCGUGGCGAAGGCGGCAUCCUGGACCAAUACUGACGCUGAGGAGCGAAAGCCAGGGGGAGCAAAACGGG